rnacentral:rRNA from 1 species
CCUACGGGAGGCAGCAGUAAGGAAUAUUGGUCAAUGGGCGCAAGCCUGAACCAGCCAUGCCGCGUGCAGGAAGACGGCCCUAUGGGUUGUAAACUGCUUUUGAACAAGAGAAAACCUCGGUACGUGUACCGAGCUGAUAGUAUUGUUAGAAUAAGCAUCGGCUAACUUCGUGCCAGCAGCCGCGGUAAGACGAAGGAUGCAAGCGUUAUCCGGAUUCAUUGGGUUUAAAGGGUGCGUAGGCGGCCUGAUAAGUCAGUGGUGAAAUCUCUCAGCUUAACUGAGAAACUGCCAUUGAUACUGUCGGGCUUGAGUACAGAUGAUGUGGGCGGAAUAUGACAUGUAGUGGUGAAAUACUUAGAUAUGUCAUAGAACACCGAUUGCGAAGGCAGCUCACAAAACUGUAACUGACGCUGAGGCACGAAAGUGCGGGGAUCAAACAGGAUUAGAUACCCUGGUAGUCCGCACCGUAAACGAUGAUUACUCGUUGUUGGCAAUAUGACCGUCAGCGACCAAGCGAAAGCGAUAAGUAANCACCUGGGGAGUACGCCGGCAACGGUUGAAACUCAAAGAGUAGUUACGGACGNGAGAGAGCGACGACGACGACGACGGAGGGAGGAGG